CUGCUGCUAUCGCAGGGGGCGGGGGAAGGGGAGGGGCGGCCGGGGGGGGGGGGGGCUCCUUUCCACUGGUCUCUUGCUCUCUUUGCUUUUUCUGCUUGGUAGGAUCUUUUAGCUGCUAAUAGAGCCAGGCGUCUGUCUAGGACUUUAACUCCCUGAAUCCCGCAGAACCGCUUGUACAAAAGAUCAGGGAAGAGGACCGGAGUCCGCCCCCUUCCUCGCCACCUCCGCUUUUCUCAGUGAUUCCUGGGGGGUUCAUCAAACAGCUUGUUCGGGAAACAGAGAAAGAAUCCAAGGUAGCUAAACGGAAAGAGAAAGGCACCUUGAACUCCAAAGAAGACCCUCCUGGGAAGCACGACAACAACCAUGAGCAGCAGUUUGUGAUAAAGGAUGAGAACA
rnacentral:lncRNA from 1 species